rnacentral:rRNA from 1 species
CCUACGGGUGGCUGCAGUGAGGAAUCUUGCGCAAUGGGGGAAACCCUGACGCAGCAACGCCGCGUGAGUGAGGAAGGUCUUCGGAUCGUAAAGCUCGGUCGGGUGGAAAGAAAUGUAUGGGGUUAAUAGCCUUCAUACUUGACGGUACCACCAAAGGAAGCACCGGCUAACUCCGUGCCAGCAGCCGCGGUAAUACGGGGGGUGCAAGCGUUGUGCGGAAUUAUUGGGGGUGAAGAGGUAGUUGAGGGGUGAAAGCCCUGGGCUUAAGCCAGGAAGUGCAUUUGAAACUGCCAGGCUUGAGUAGGGGAGAGGGAAGUGGAAUUCCUGGUGUAGAGGUGAAAUUCGUAGAUAUCAGGAGGAACACCGGUGGCGAAGGCGACUUCCUGGCCCUAUACUGACGCUGAGACGCGAGAGCGUGGGUAGCAAACAGGAUUAGAUACCCGUGUAGUC